rnacentral:rRNA from 1 species
UACGGAAGGGGCAAGCGUUGUUCGGAAUCAUUGGGCGUAAAGGGCGCGUAGGUGGUUCUGUGUGUCUACCGUGAAAGCGUACGGCUCAACCGUAUUUUGUCGGCAGAAACUGCAGGACUUGAGGCUGGGAGGGGCUGGUGGAAUUCCCUGUGUAGCGGUGAAAUGCGUAGAGAUGGGGGAGAACACUCGUGGCGAAGGCGGCCAGCUAGACCAGUUCUGACACUGAGGCGCGACAGCGUGGGGAGCAAACAGG